GAUGAAACCAAGGGGGUCAUUUACUAUCCAGAAAUACACCUAUAUUAGGCGAAUUUCUAGCACAGAUUGCGGUGAAAAGGUUAUUUGUGCCACAAUCUCUGACUUUUCCCCGCUCACGGCAGGUCUAAAAAAAGAGGAGGGGA